GGGUGUAUAGCUCAGUUGGUAGAGCAUCGGACUUUUAAUCUGAUGGCCAUAGGUUCAAGUCCUAUUAUACCCA
rnacentral:tRNA from 1 species